CAUAUCAAUAAGCGGAGGAAAAGAAACCAACAGGGAUUGCCUCAGUAACGGCGAGUGAAGCGGCAACAGCUCAAAUUUGAAAUCUGGCGUCAGCCCGAGUUGUAAUUUGGAGAGGAUGCUUCUGGGCAGCGGCCGGUCUAAGUUCCUUGGAACAGGACGUCAUAGAGGGUGAGAAUCCCGUAUGCGACCGGUUGGCACCCGCCACGUAGCUCCUUCGACGAGUCGAGUUGUUUGGGAAUGCAGCUCUAAAUGGGUGGUAAAUUCCAUCUAAAGCUAAAUACCGGCCAGAGACCGAUAGCGCACAAGUAGAGUGAUCGAAAGAUGAAAAGCACUUUGGAAAGAGAGUUAAACAGCACGUGAAAUUGUUGAAAGGGAAGCGCAUGCGACCAGACUUGCCGACGGUGUUCCCCCGGUCUUCUGACCGGGUCACUCGCCGCCGGCAGGCCAGCAUCGUGUGGGCGCGCCGGACAAAGGCGCCGGGAAUGUGGCCCCAUGAGGGGUGUUAUAGUCCGGCGCACAAUACGGCGCCGCCCGCGCGAGGUCCGCGCUUCGGCUAGGAUGCUGGCGUAAUGGUCGUAUGCGGCCCGUCUUGAAACACGGACCAAGGAGUCUAACAUCUGUGCGAGUGUUCGGGCGUCAAACCCCUACGCGGAAUGAAAGUGAACGGAGGUGGGAGCUUCGGCGCACCAUCGACCGAUCCUGAUGUCCUCGGAUGGAUUUGAGUAAGAGCAUAGCUGUUGGGACCCGAAAGAUGGUGAACUAUGCCUGAAUAGGGUGAAGCCAGAGGAAACUCUGGUGGAGGCUCGCAGCGGUUCUGACGUGCAAAUCGAUCGUCAAAUUUGGGUAUAGGGG
rnacentral:rRNA from 1 species